AGCGAACGUUUGCGGCGGGCUUAACACAUGCAAGUCGAACGGGCUGUUCCUUCGGGGGCAGUCAGUGGCGCACGGGUGCGUAACACGUAGGUAAUCAACCCUCUGGUUGGGGAUAACACUUCGAAAGGAGUGCUAAUACCCGGUAUGGCGCAGCGGUCUUCGGAUCGCGGCGAGAAAGACCCGCAAGGGUUGCCAGAGGACGAGCCUGCGGCCCAUCAGCUAGUUGGCGAGGUAACGGCUCACCAAGGCGAAGACGGGUAGCUGGUCUGAGAGGAUGAUCAGCCACACUGGAACUGAGACACGGUCCAGACUCCUACGGGAGGCAGCAGUGGGGAAUAUUGCGCAAUGGGCGAAAGCCUGACGCAGCCACGCCGCGUGAGCGAUGAAGGCCUCGGUCGUAAGACUCUGUGGGAGGAGAAGAAUAAAGACUGUGAGAGCAGGCCUUGACGGUAGUCUCCUUAGCAAGCACCGGC
rnacentral:rRNA from 1 species